GUCAUUAGCAUACCAUCAGUGCUUGGCUUUCAGGAUCAUUGAUUAAAGAAUAGAUUUAUAUCCCAUCCUGAUUUAUUUAUUUACUUAUUUAUUUUUCUAAACUUUCUAUUUUAUUUAAAAAGAAAAAAGUUGAAACACAAAAGUCCAACAAAUAAAAAACAAAACAAAACAAAGUGAAUGCAGCAGUUGUUAUGCCAACGCAAUCGUUGUUAAGCGAAGCAAUUGUCUGCAUGGGACGUCUUUUGCCAGAAACUGGAAGAAAACAUCAGUUCCCAGCAAAAAAAAAAUGUAAAUUGUGGUCACGUGUCCAUGGAAUACUGAGUCCUUAAAUCACAAGUAUCAAAACUCACCGCAUCACAUGACAUAUCACAACUUUUUUCUCGCAUUGCCAGACACCUCUGCCUUAAAUGAUUUCUGACAAGGAGAUUUCAGACAAAAAAAAAAAAGUUUCCAAAACCGCUGUACAAAAAAAAAAAAAAAA